AUUUUCGUGAACUGUGAAAUUAAGCCAUUUAUUUAUCUCACGUCUCUCUCUCUCUCUCUCUCCUCUCUCUCUCGAAACCCUUAACAAUAAGGAAUUGAAUUGCAGUAUACCCGAAACUAAAAGGAAUCAGCCAGCUCAUCCACCAUAAAACCCUCCCGGCCGUGAGAAUCACCAUUCCAUUGUUCCGAUAUCUAAUAAGUUUAUUUAUUUGUUUUUUUCAAACUGAAUCUUAUCUCUCGGUAUUUCUUCUCUCAUGGUUGAAUCGGAAAACCCCCUCCUCAAUGAAUUCUGUGCUGCCGCCGCGCAGUCCCGCAGGCUCCGCAUCCGCUUCAAGGGCCCCGUCCCUUGUCCUGUGCCGGACCCCAACGCCGGCCAAUGCUUGAAACAGAGCGUCAAUACUUGUAAAAGCUUCAAUAGGAACAGAAUUGCCGACAAUGGAAUUCAGAAAUCUAGUGAUGCUAAACAUGUUGCUAGAUCUGCAAAGAUGCCCGAGUUCAGCACCAAUACUCUUAUGAGCUCUAAGCAUGACAAUGGUUCCAUGAAGCUUUUAUCUGGAUUUGUUGAGCAGAACCAAUUCAAGGCCAAUACUCUAUGCAGGUCGACGAGAGGCGAUACUGUUACCAAAGCAAGGAAGAGAACCCGAUUGUCUCUUGGAUUGCCGACCUCGAGUAAGUUAAAAAGAUCAAAGAGAUCAUUAUCAGCAGAAAGAAGAACAUCAAUUGAUGAUCUACCCAACGUUAUAUUGUCUGAAAUCCUAAGCCGACUUGCAUGCAAUAAUUAUGUUUUUCAGUGCAAAACUGUGUCCAAGCGUUGGUGCACCCUCAUCGAAGAUCCUUAUUUUAUUGGCUGCUUUGUAAGUAUCCAAAGUAAUAAGGGAAUUCCAAAGAUACGCACUUUGAUAACCAAAGGGGCUGUGGAAUUCCGUCCUAUGGUGUCGUUGUCACCCAAUCUAAGAACUUGGGCGCUCAAUAGAUUCAUGCGUUUCCACCGUUUGAUGGAAAAACCAGUUGUUGUAGCGACAUAUAAUGACUUAGUUUUGUGCUGCAUGACCGAGGAUUAUCAACGCACAUACUACAUCUGCAAUGCAUACACCAUGCAAUAUGUUGUACUUCCUCCCACCCCAAGUCGAUGUCACAAGAGUGUGCGGGUAGGAUUCAUCUGCAAUGUUCCUGACUAUAAAUGUGAGGAAGAUGAUUGGAAAGGAAACAACUUCCAGCAUAAUGUUGAGUGUAGGUACACGGUUGUGAGAAUUCUUCCUCCUGUCGAUUUUGAAAAUGGUGAGAAGAAAUGUGAUACAUUCAAAUUAAACGUGGAGAUCUUCUCUUCUGACACUGGGGAGUGGAGAGAAUCAUUUGUCUCGUCCCCACGGCACUUCAAUUUUGGCCGCCUCAAGGAGUUAUCCUUUACAUACAAUGGAAUGUUAUAUUGGCUAACAGAGCAGGACUUUAUUGUUAUUGGUUUGGGUCCAUUCUACGACAAUGAUGGAACUAGCAGCAGCAACAAUAAUGGUGAUGGUAUUAUUGAUCAUAAACUGGGUUUCACCAUAUUUGAGGAGACUCUAGACUUUGGUUGUAUGCUUCAGUACUCAGGUGUGUGCAGAGGAUAUGUGCUAUUGUGCAACAUGAGCAUGCUCUCCAGAAGCCUGUAUGUAUAUGAACUGAAACAAUCACAAGAUGAUGGAGCUGCUGCUGGCAAAAAGUUGUAUUUGAGUAAACGCAGGGUUUAUUCCUUUGAUGCUGAAAUGAUUCCAUUCAAAUCGAAUAUCUUACCGAUUGCUUUUGACCCAAGUAAUAAGGAUAUUUUUUAUCUGCAUGUGGACGAUGAUAUUAUCAAGUGGAACGUUCACACAGGAAAGUGGUCAAAGAUAUUUAAAUACUGGGCAAAACGUUGGGGCUAUUACACAGUUGUUCUCCCAUGGUGGCCGACCUCAAUUCCUGGACUACCCCAGCAACAGCAGCAGUAGCAGCAGCAGCAGCAGCAUGCCCAUCUCUGCUUGCUGGAGGAACUAGAAGCUAGCUAGUAGAUUGCAAGAAUUAAAGUAAGGUAAAUGGGUCCUUUUGAUUUUGGCAUUGGCUCAACGAUCACCAAUGGACGAAAAAUGGAAGCUCGAAGAACUUCUGAAGAUGGCACUACGUUUUCGUUUUCUAUGUCCCUUCAUCAUCUUCUCUUCUACACUCCCAUCGGCGAACCAACCAACCACCGGCAACAAUGACUGAUGGCGAAGACCACCUCCUCUUUAAUUACUAUGUAUAAGCAUCUAAUGUAAUAUGAUGACGUUUUUAAAUAGACCAUAUUAUAUAUCUAUAUUAAAUUCUGAGUGUAAGAGUUUCCUAUGAGACUAUUUAAUCUUCUUUUUUGUGCUAUAAGCUUUGCGGCUGGUAUUUUAAGCUUUUGUGGUAGCGUUCAAACCUAAAGUAUAUGUAAUGCAAU